ensembl:lncRNA
CUCGGACAAGAGAACAGCUUCGAGCUGGAUUUCCUUCAGGAAGCAAUAAGAUGGAUUGACACAUGGACAUUUAAAGUCGUGGCUGAAUGAUGACAUGGAUAAUAUAGAGCUGGCGGGAUUUUCCAUGCACCGGCAGAACAGAGAUGCUACGUCUGGACCUGAGCCCUAGGACCCUGCCCCAGGACUACCUGACAUGAUGACUCCUUGCUGUCCCCAGUCCACCUGGCCGUGCUGCUGCUCCAGUUUCAACUGUUCUGCCUUCUUAUUAUUCGACCAUGCUGGUCAUUUAUGAACAUUUGAACAUCUUGGCCAUGUUCUGUUAUAAUCUCCACCCGGCACAGCCAGAAGAGGACUGGCCACCCCACAUAUGCUCUCUCUAAUUCUCUCUUUCUUUCUCUCUCUCGGAGGACCUGAGCCCUAGGACCAUGCCCCAGGACUACCUGACAUGAUGACUCCUUG